AUGGAUGUUAGGAGUUGCUCUUGGAAUAUGAAAGCCCUGAGUUUGGAUCUAGCCUCAGACCGUGUGACCCUGGAGAAGUCACUUCACUUUUCUCUGAUUCAGAAUAUUCAUUAUGAAGAUGGCAGCAAUAACAAUAGCUACUUCACAGGAUUGUUGUGUGGAUCCAAUGAGUUAACUAUUAACAAUGACCCCAAAGUCCAAGAGGAGCGAGGCUGGGAGCUCGGAAAGCCCAAGAAAAGUCGAAACGUGGCUAGGUAUGUUUGUAUAGGAAACCGUUAUGAAAUAACUUGGGAGAAUCUUGGAACUCACUGGUCAGAUAGUCUGGGCCAAGGUGAUUCACCAGGCUGAGAUCACACGGGUCAUUAUCAUACAGUUCUCUGCCGUCCUCUGGAAAUAUUCUGUUGGAAGAUGACAGGUAAUGCCUUCGAGGGUGGGGACGUGAUGGUGUCGGAAAUCUGCCCAGGACCUGUCCUAGGGGAGGGAGAGUGCCCAGUAACACGAGUAUCCACUAUUUAAGUGCCACGGAGUAUUCAGGGAAGUCUCCAAACUCUGAAAAUACAAAGUUGGGCUUUACGGAGCACAAGUAUCAUGUACAUUCAUGGGAGGGGCUAGCUGGGAGGGCUGCACAAAUACCAUCAUCUCCAAACAAAAGUCUGUUUAAUUCAAACCAUUAAAUGUUUGUUAAAU
rnacentral:lncRNA from 1 species